rnacentral:rRNA from 1 species
CCAAUAGCGUAUAUUAAAGUUGUUGCAGUUAAAAAGCUCGUAGUUGAACCUUAGGCCCGUGCGGGCGGUCCGUCCUCUGGGCGAGCACUGCUCCGUCGCGGGUCUCACCUUCUGGCGAGCGUCGAUGCCAUUCGUUUGGUGUCGGCGGGAAACAGGACCUUUACCUUGAAAAAAUUAGAGUGCUCAAAGCGGGCUCCGACGCUUGAAUACAUUAGCAUGGAAUAAUGAAAUAGGACGAGGGUUCUAUUUUGUUGGUUUCCGGGACCGUCGUAAUGAUUAAUAGGGAUAGUUGGGGGCAUUCGUAUUCAAUUGUCAGAGGUGAAAUUCUUGGAUUUAUUGAAGACGGACUACUGCGAAAGCAUUUGCCAAGGAUGUUUUCAUUAAUCAAGAACGAAAGUUGGGGGACCGAAGACGAUCAGAUACCGUCGUAGUCUCAACCAUAAACUAUGCCGACUGGGAAUCGGGCGAUGUUAUUUAUGUGACUCGCUCGGCGCCCCGAG